rnacentral:rRNA from 1 species
AAUCAACGCUGGCGGCGUGCCUCAGACAUGCAAGUCGAACGCGAAAGUCCCCUUCGGGGGACAAGUAGAGUGGCGCACGGGUGAGUAACACGUAGGUAAUCUACCUUUGGAUGGGGAAUAACAACCGGAAACGGUUGCUAAUACCGCAUAAUGCAGCGGCACCUAAUGGUGACAGUUGUUAAAGCGGGGGAUCGAAAGACCUCGCGUCUAAAGAGGAGCCUGCGGCGGAUUAGCUAGUUGGUAAGGAAUGGCUUACCAAGGCUACGAUCCGUAACCGGCCUGAGAGGGCGGUCGGUCACACUGACACUGACAUACGGGUCAGACUCCUACGGGAGGCAGCAGUCGGGAAUUUUGGGCAAUGGGCGAAAGCC